rnacentral:rRNA from 2 species
UGUCGUCAGCUCGUGUUGUGAAAUGUUGGGUUAAGUCCCGCAACGAGCGCAACCCUUAUCCUUUGUUGCCAGCGGUCCGGCCGGGAACUCAAAGGAGACUGCCAGUGAUAAACUGGAGGAAGGUGGGGAUGACGUCAAGUCAUCAUGGCCCUUACGACCAGGGCUACACACGUGCUACAAUGGCGCAUACAAAGAGAAGCGACCUCGCGAGAGCAAGCGGACCUCAUAAAGUGCGUCGUAGUCCGGAUUGGAGUCUGCAACUCGACUCCAUGAAGUCGGAAUCGCUAGUAAUCGUGGAUCAGAAUGCCACGGUGAAUACGUUC